GACGAACGCUGGCGGCGUGCCUAAUACAUGCAAGUCGAACGCAGUGGGGACGGGUGAGUAACACGUGGGUAACCUCCCAUCAGAGGGGAUAACACUUGGAAACAGGUGCUAAACCGCUACUGAUGGAUGCACCCGCGGUGCAUUCGCUGGUUGGUGAGGUGACGGCUCCCCAGGGCCACGAUGCUUAGCCGACCGGAGAGGGUGAUCGGCCACACUGGGACUGAGACACGGCCCAGACUCCUACGGGAGGCAGCAGUAGGGAAUCUUCGGCAAUGGACGAAAGUCUGACCGAGCAAUGCCGCGGGAGUGAAGAAGGUUUUCGGAUCGGAAAACUCUGUUGUUAGAGAAGCGGUAUCUAACCAGAAAGCCACGGCUAACUACGUGCCAGCCGCCGCGGUAAUUC
rnacentral:rRNA from 1 species